GCGGCCAAGUGCGAGUCGGACUCGCCCAUGAAGGGUUCCGUAGCAGCAAGUAACAUAAUAAAAUUGCGGUUUACGAUUUAUGACGUAUUAAAAAAAACUACUUACUAGAUCUCGUUCAAACCAAUUUUCGGUGGAAGUUUGCAUGGUAAUGUACAUCAUAUAUUUUUUUUAGUUUUAUCAUUCUCUUAUUUUAGAAGUUACGGGGGGGGGGCGGACACAUUUUACCACUUUGGAAGUGUCUCUCGCGCAAACUAUUCAAAAAAAAUUAUAUUAGAAACCUCAAUAUCAUUUUUGAAGACCUAUCCAUAGAUACCCCACACGUAUGGGUUUGAUGAAAAAAAAAUUUUUGGAGUUUCAGUUCUAAGUAUGGGCAGGGGUGCGAAACUCCUGACUUCGGUCAAACUCGGCUCCGCUCGGCUCAGCAUUGCUCCGAGCAAUUAUUAGGGUUGGCACCACUUGACUUCCUUUUGCGUGCACGACCACAGAUAAGAUAAUCACUUGAUUUUUGACAACCCUAAAUAGCCGAAAGGGAUAGUGCCAUAUAUUAGAAAGGGACAGCAUUAUUCGACCCUGAACCGCUGUCAAACUUCGUUUUUGUAGGAAGUUUCCUUUCUGUACGGUAGUACUAUUAAUUAUUCU